UGGGGAAUAUUGGACAAUGGGCGCAAGCCUGAUCCAGCAAUGCCGCGUGUGUGAAGAAGGCCUUCGGGUUGUAAAAGCACUUUUAUCAGGAGCGAAACGCUGUCGGCUAAUACCCGGCGGAACUGACGGUACCUGAGGAAUAAGCACCGGCUAACUUCGUGCCAGCAGCCGCGGUAAUACGAAGGGUGCAAGCGUUAAUCGGAAUUACUGGGCGUAAAGCGUGCGUAGGCGGUUUCUUAAGUCUGCUGUGAAAUCCCCGGGCUCAACCUGGGAAUGGCAGUGGAUACUGGGAGGCUAGAGUGUGUCAGAGGGUGGUGGAAUUCCCGGUGUAGCGGUGAAAUGCGUAGAGAUCGGGAGGAACAUCAGUGGCGAAGGCGGCCACCUGGGACAACACUGACGCUGAGGCACGAAAAGCGUGGGGAGCAAACAGGAUUAGAUACCCUGGUAGUCCACGCCCUAAAACGAUGCGAACUGGAUGUUGGUCUCAACUCGGAGAUCAGUGUCGAAGCUAACGCGUUAAGUUCGCCGCCUGGGGAGUACGGUCGCAAGACUGAAACUUAAAUGAAUUGAC
rnacentral:rRNA from 1 species